rnacentral:rRNA from 1 species
AGCAGCCGCGGUAAUUCCAGCUCCAAUAGCGUAUAUUAAAGUUGUUGCAGUUAAAAAGCUCGUAGUUGAAUUUCGGGAUCAAUAUGUCGGUCGUGCCUUCGGUACGUACUGGUAUCAUUGGUCUCUCCUUUCUGACGAACCAUGAUGUCGUUAAUUUGGUGUUAUGGGGAGUUAGGACUGUUACUUUGAAAAAUUAGAGUGUUUAAAGCAGGCUUUAGCUUGAAUACAUUAGCAUGGAAUAAUGAAAUAGGACGUUCGAACCUAUUUUGUUGGUUUCUAGGAUCAACGUAAUGAUUAAUAGGGAUAGUUGGGGGCAUUAGUAUUCAAUUGCCAGAGGUGAAAUUCUUGGAUUUAUUGAAGACUAACUACUGCGAAAGCAUUUGCCAAGGAUGUUUUCAUUAAUCAAGAACGAAAGUUAGGGGAUCGAAGACGAUCAGAUACCGUCGUAGUCUUAACCAUAAACUAUGCCGACUAGGGAUCGGAUGAUGUUAGUUU